rnacentral:rRNA from 1 species
CUGGCUCAGGAUGAACGCUAGCGGCAGGCCUAAUACAUGCAAGUCGAACGGUAUAUUACUUUCGGGUAAUAGAGAGUGGCGAACGGGUGCGUAACGCGUAUGCAACCUACCCUAUACAGGGGGAUAGCC